rnacentral:rRNA from 1 species
CGCGUAGGCGGUCCUUCAAGUCCCGCGUGAAAUCCCCCGGCUCAACUGGGGAACUGCGCGGGAAACUGUAGGGCUUGAGUUCGGGAGAGGGAAGCGGAAUUCCGGGUGUAGCGGUGAAAUGCGUAGAUAUCCGGAGGAACACUGGUGGCGAAGGCGGCUUCCUGGACCGACACUGACGCUGAGGCGCGAAAGCUAGGGGAGCAAACG